rnacentral:tRNA from 1 species
GGUGGGUUGGCUCAGUGGUUAGAGCGUAGGUCUCGUUACCGAAGUCCCGGGAUCGAAUCCCGCUAGAGGCUG